rnacentral:tRNA from 1 species
GCGGUCGUGGCGGAAUUGGUAGACGCGCAGCGUUGAGGUCGCUGUGGGGGCUAACCCUGUGGAAGUUCGAAUCUUCUCGACCGCACCA